rnacentral:rRNA from 1 species
CCUACGGGUGGCAGCAGUGGGGAAUAUUGCACAAUGGGGGAAACCCUGAUGCAGCAACGCCGCGUGAGUGAAGAAGUAUUUCUGUAUGUAAAGCUCUAUCAGCAGGGGAGAAGAUGACGGUACCUGAAUAAGAAGCUCCGGCUAACUACGUGUCAGCAGCCGCGGUAAUACGUAGGGGGCAACGGUUAUCCGGAUUUACUGGGUGUAAAGGGAGCGCAGACGGCAGGGCAAGUCUGGAGUGAAAGUCCGGGGCCCAACCCCGGAACUGCCCUGGAAACUGUGAGGCUAGAGUACUGGAGGGGCAGGCGGAAUUCGUGGUGUAGCGGUGAAAUGCGUAGAUAUUAGGAAGAACACCAGUGGCGAAGGCAGCCUGCUGGACAGUAACUGACGUUGAGGCUCGAAAGCGUGGGGAGCAAACAGGAUUAGAUACCCGUGUAGUC